rnacentral:rRNA from 1 species
UAUGUGAUCGUCUCUCGCAUAUCAAUAAGCGGAGGAAAAGAAACUAACAAGGAUUCCCCUAGUAACGGCGAGUGAAGCGGGAAGAGCUCAAAUUUGAAAUCUUAAAGGGUUUCCCUUUACGAAUUGUAGUUUAAAGAAGUGUUUUCUGUUGAGGUUUUGGUAAAAGUUCUUUGGAAUAGGACAUCAUAGAGGGUGAGAAUCCCGUAUUUGACCUUUACUUCCAACUUUGUGAUACACUUUCAAAGAGUCGGAUUGUUUGGGAAUGCAGUCCAAAAUGGGUGGUAAAUUUCAUCUAAAGCUAAAUAUUGGCGAGAGACCGAUAGCGAACAAGUACCGUGGGGGAAAGAUGAAAAGAACUUUGAAAAGAGAGUUAAACAGUACGUGAAAUUGUCAAAAGGGAAGCGUUUGACACCAGUGUUGUUUUUCUGAGAAUCAAUUAAAGAACUGUUUAUGCUAAGUUGUUUAGACUUUAUCAGCUAACUGUUUAGUUUUGAGCUUUUCUUUAAUGCACUUUUCAGUUAACAAGUCAACAUCAAUUUCUUUUGCUGUAAAAAAGCUUGAGGAAGGUGGCUUGAGAUUCGUCUUAAGUGUUUAUAGCCUCUUGCCUAUGCAGUCGGAGAGAUUGAGGUCUGCAGCGUAGAUCCUUCGGGGCUAAAUGCAUUUGUGCUAAGUUAUAGCAUUUUAUAGACAACUUGUUGACUAUGAUUUGUCUUGUAGCUUACUCGCUUAUGUUAUUUUACCUACGCUUAGGAUGUUGAUCUACAGAGCGAGAGU